UGGGGCAUCUCCACUGACAGGUAUCUUUCAGGAGCUGCCUUAUCAUGUACCUGUCAUACAGCCAAAGUAGGAGCAACUGUUCAUUCUAAGAUGCAUAAAUCAGCUUUCCAAGAUGAUGCUCAAGGAGAGUGCUGAAGAGCUCUGAAGAGCUUGAAGGUGGCAGGUACGGGGUGGCACACUUGAACUGCUCCUGGCUGCCCUGGAACAUCCCACUGAAGAUAACAUUUAUGGAAAUGCAAGGAAAAGAAUUGCUCCACCUUGCAGGUACAAAACAAGAUGCCACGUUCCUCACAGCAGCCAGAGUUGGCGUGGAUGAACAGCUCUCCCAGAGGGACCUGCUUCCCUGUGGGAAGAUGCUGCCCAGGACAGUAACGUUUCUGCUACUAGAGCUGAGGGGAAAGGCCAUAUUUGGGACCUGACGUUGGGUCAGAAUUGGAGCUGGAACUUUGAAUACAAUUUUUUUUCCCCCAAAAUGGUCCUGUACUCUACUCUCUCAGCCUUGUCCUCAGGUAAGUGCUCUACUUGCUCUACACUUGAGCACUGAACAAUUUUUCUUGCUGCUUCUGAACACAUCAGGAUGCUGAACUCUCUACUUUUCAUGUCCAUUUUAAUAAUUGAUCAUCUUGAACCUUCCCAUUUUGCUUGGAGUAUAAACUUUUAGUGGGGACACUUUCCUGUUUGCACCCACUCUGUAAAUCUUGAUGUUACUCUUUAAUUGGGACCUUGUUGAUAUUUCUGC
rnacentral:lncRNA from 1 species